UGCUUCUUUCUCAAUUAUCAGUCUUUUGCUCUCUCCAUCACGUUUGCAGUUUUGCUCCCAGCUUUCUCAUUUGCGCUUCCAGAGUCUUUGUUUGCAAUUCUGACACAAAACUCUCGCGUGGGCGGGUCUUACAGGGGUGCGUCCCCAUUGGCUAAUGAGUGUUAAGGGAAAGUUUGAGUGACAGCUCAGCUUCAGUGCAGGUAAACUAACAUUAGAGACUCAGAGUCUGGUCUGGAUGACACACAAGCCACUCCACAGCGGAUUCCUACAAGAUUAAUAAAGUAGACCUGCAGGACCCGAGCAGAGCUACGAUGCUCUCCCAGGUAACGUUAGGUCAGUAACGUAGCUAUAUGGUCUAUUAGGAAAAAUUAUUAUCCAGCAA